rnacentral:rRNA from 1 species
GAUGAACGCUGGCGGCGUGCCUAAUACAUGCGAGUCGAGCGAACAGACGAGGAGCUUGCUCCUUUGACGUUAGCGGCGGACGGGUGAGUAACACGUGGGUAACCUACCUAUAAGACUGGGAUAACUUCGGGAAACCGGAGCUAAUACCGGAUAAUAUUUCGAACCGCAUGGUUCGAUAGUGAAAGAUGGCUUUGCUAUCACUUAUAGAUGGACCUGCGCCGUAUUAGCUAGUUGGUGAGGUAACGGCUUACCAAGGCAACGAUACGUAGCCGACCUGAGAGGGUGAUCGGCCACACUGGAACUGAGACACGGUCCAGACUCCUACGGGAGGCAGCAGUAGGGAAUCUUCCGCAAUGGGCGAAAGCCUGACGGAGCAACGCCGCGUGAGUGAUGGAGGUCUUCGGAUCGUAAAACUCUGUUAUUAGGGAAGAACAAACGUGUAAGUAACUGUGCACGUCUUGACGGUACCUAAUCAGAAAGCCACGGCUAACUACGUGCCAGCAGCCGCGGUAAUACGUAGGUGGCAAGCGUUAUCCGGAAUUAUUGGGCGUAAAGCGCGCGUAGGCGGUUUUUUAAGUCUGAUGCGAAAGCCCACGGCUCAACCGUGGAGGGUCAUUGGAAACUGGAAAACUUGAGUGCAGAAGAGGAAAGUGGAAUUCCAUGUGUAGCGGUGAAAUGCGCAGAGAUAUGGAGGAACACCAGUGGCGAAGGCGACUUUCUGGUCUGUAACUGACGCUGAUGUGCGAAAGCGUGGGGAUCAAACAGGAUUAGAUACCCUGGUAGUCCACGCCGUAAACGAUGAGUGCUAAGUGUUAGGGGGUUUCCGCCCCUUAGUGCUGCAGCUAACGCAUUAAGCACUCCGCCUGGGGAGUACGACCGCAAGGUUGAAACUCAAAGGAAUUGACGGGGACCCGCACAAGCGGUGGAGCAUGUGGUUUAAUUCGAAGCAACGCGAAGAACCUUACCAAAUCUUGACAUCCUUUGACCCUUCUAGAGAUAGAAGUUUCCCCUUCGGGGGACAAAGUGACAGGUGGUGCAUGGUUGUCGUCAGCUCGUGUCGCGAGAUGUUGGGUUAAGUCCCGCAACGAGCGCAACCCUUAAGCUUAGUUGCCAUCAUUAAGUUGGGCACUCUAAGUUGACUGCCGGUGACAAACCGGAGGAAGGUGGGGAUGACGUCAAAUCAUCAUGCCCCUUAUGAUUUGGGCUACACACGUGCUACAAUGGACAAUACAAAGGGCAGCGAAACCGCGAGGUCAAGCAAAUCCCAUAAAGUUGUUCUCAGUUCGGAUUGUAGUCUGCAACUCGACUACAUGAAGCUGGAAUCGCUAGUAAUCGUAGAUCAGCAUGCUACGGUGAAUACGUUCCCGGGUCU